rnacentral:rRNA from 1 species
UGGGGAAUAUUGCACAAUGGAGGGAACUCUGAUGCAGCGACGCCGCGUGAACGAAGAAGGCUUUCGAGUCGUAAAGUUCUUUUAUAUGGGAAGAUAAUGACGGUACCAUAAGAAAAAGCCCCGGCUAACUACGUGCCAGCAGCCGCGGUAAUACGUAGGGGGCUAGCGUUGUCCGGAAUCACUGGGCGUAAAGGGUUCGCAGGCGGAAAUGCAAGUCAGGUGUAAAAGGCAGUAGCUUAACUACUGUAAGCAUUUGAAACUGCAUAUCUUGAGAAGAGUAGAGGUAAGUGGAAUUUUUAGUGUAGCGGUGAAAUGCGUAGAUAUUAAAAAGAAUACCGGUGGCGAAGGCGACCUACUGGGCUCAUUCUGACGCUGAGGAACGAAAGCGUGGGUAGCAAACAGG